rnacentral:rRNA from 1 species
ACGGAAGGCAGCAGUAGGGAAUCUUCGGCAAUGGGGGCAACCCUGACCGAGCAACGCCGCGUGAGUGAAGAAGGUUUUCGGAUCGUAAAGCUCUGUUGUAAGAGAAGAACGUGUGUGAGAGUGGAAAGUUCACACAGUGACGGUAACUUACCAGAAAGGGACGGCUAACUACGUGCCAGCAGCCGCGGUAAUACGUAGGUCCCGAGCGUUGUCCGGAUUUAUUGGGCGUAAAGCGAGCGCAGGCGGUUUAAUAAGUCUGAAGGUAAAGGCAGUGGCUUAACCAUUGUUCGCUUUGGAAACUGUUAGGCUUGAGUGCAGAAGGGGAGAGUGGAAUUCCAUGUGUAGCGGUGAAAUGCGUAGAUAUAUGGAGGAACACCGGUGGCGAAAGCGGCUAUCUGGUCUGUAACUGACGCUGAGGCUCGAAAGCGUGGGGAGCAAACAGGAUUAGAUACCCUGGUA